AGUGAACGCUGGCGGUAGGCCUAACACAUGCAAGUCGAACGGCAGCACAGUAAGAGCUUGCUCUUACGGGUGGCGAGUGGCGGACGGGUGAGGAGUACAUCGGAAUCUACUUUUUCGUGGGGGAUAACGUAGGGAAACUUACGCUAAUACCGCAUACGACCUACGGGUGAAAGCAGGGGAUCUUCGGACCUUGCGCGAUUGAAUGAGCCGAUGUCGGAUUAGCUAGUUGGCGGGGUAAAGGCCCACCAAGGCGACGAUCCGUAGCUGGUCUGAGAGGAUGGUCAGCCACACUGGAACGGAGACACGGUCCAGACUCCUACGGGAGGCAGCAGUGGGGAAUGUUGGACAAUGGGCGCAAGCCUGAUCCAGCCAUACCGCGUGGGUGAAGAAGGCCUUCGGGUUGUAAAGACCUUUUGUUGGGAAAGAAAAGCAGCAGGUUAAUACCCCGCUGUUCUGACGGUACCCAAAGAAUAAGCACCGGCUAACUUCGUG
rnacentral:rRNA from 1 species